CACCCUCUCGCUCACCAUCUCUUUCUCAUCUCAAUCUUAUCCCUCAUUCCAUUUCAUUCUUCUCUCUGCAGGUUUACUGUCGCUGGUGGGGGUUGCGUGGGUCUAGCGCGGCCUCGUUGGGGCUGGACGAUGCAGCGGCCUGGGACUACUCGAUAAAGCUUGCAGCAGGGUUACCCAAUUUGUUUUGAUGGUGUGAAAUCUUUCAUUCCACAAGCUUGAUCUCUUCACUCUCUUAAGAAAGGUUGGAUUUGUGGAUAUUCUAAUGAGAGGUGAUAAUGGCCAUACCUUUUUUAAUCCAAUGAUUUGAUGGUUUGUUCUGUUUUCUUUGACUGUUUCUUUUGUUAUAUAUACUAGCUGUAGGAAUAAUGAUCUACUAGGCGAUGUGGAAAUGUGGACAAAUACAUCCUUUAUCCAUUAUUCUUUUCUAUGAAAUAUAUGUUUAUUGUUGCUCAUGCUUCUUUCCUUUUACUCUUGAAUUAUGGAUUUAUCUUAUACCAAGCUCAUUUGAGCAUGUAUGGUCUUCUAUGAUGUUUUGGAGACUGAUUUUUAUUUAGUUAUGGUUAAACUUUAGUUUUUGACAUUACUAUUGUUGUUGUUUUGAAUGGUUUAUCAUUUUUUUGUGUGAGAAGGAAGACUGAAGAGUUUUUGUACCUGAUUUUGGGUCAUAGGCAAGGUAUGUACUUAAUUGUUGCUUUAAUCGAUUAAGCAUUUAUGAGAAGUUUGAUUGCAGGUGGAUAAUAAAUGGAAGGUCUCUGUUAUGGGUUUUGGCAAAUGCACACGUUAUUGCUCUUGAAUUCUAUUCCUUGUACUUGGAAGCUAUGGUCAAAAAUUUACUUGUCAGGAGAGUGCAAUAUCAGAGAAUGUGACAAUGCAGAAAAUAGUAUAUAAAUGUAAAAAAAAAAAAUCUUUUCUAUAUCGAUGUGUUGAUUGAUUGUAUUGUAUUUUAGGAAAACAUUAUAUUUUGUAUUGGAAUUUUAAUUUUUAUAUAGUGAUUUUUUUUAA